rnacentral:rRNA from 1 species
GAUGAACGCUGGCGGCGUGCCUAACACAUGCAAGUCGAACGGGAAAUAUUUCAUUGAGACUUCGGUGGAUUUGAUUUAUUUCUAGUGGCGGACGGGUGAGUAACGCGUGGGUAACCUGCCUUAUACAGGGGGAUAACAGUCAGAAAUGGCUGCUAAUACCGCAUAAGCGCACAGAGCUGCAUGGCUCAGUGUGAAAAACUCCGGUGGUAUAAGAUGGACCCGCGUUGGAUUAGCUAGUUGGUGGGGUAACGGCCCACCAAGGCGACGAUCCAUAGCCGGCCUGAGAGGGUGAACGGCCACAUUGGGACUGAGACACGGCCCAGACUCCUACGGGAGGCAGCAGUGGGGAAUAUUGCACAAUGGGGGAAACCCUGAUGCAGCGACGCCGCGUGAAGGAAGAAGUAUCUCGGUAUGUAAACUUCUAUCAGCAGGGAAGAUAGUGACGGUACCUGACUAAGAAGCCCCGGCUAACUACGUG